GAAUUAAAAUGGAUCCUCAACCAUCAACAAGUGUCAUGGACUCCACUGCAUCAAGGAGAUCUAGACUUUGGUCAACAAUGCUGUGGCUUUAUUCUGGUGUGUAUGAGAUAAAAUUUAUUGUUGAUGGCCAGUGGAGAUUAGAUCCUCAAAGGGAGUCAGUUACAAGAGGUUAUAUAUGCAACAAUAUACUAAGAGUAGAUAGAUAGAUAGAUAACAUCUGGCUCGUCUCAGAACUGCUCGAGGGAUAAAAAAGGUCGUGUUGCAAACACUUGGUCCGAUUAACAUAGUUGUUGCGGAUUGUUUUAGGCUAGAAUAGAGCGUGAUGGUUGAUUGCCGUGCUUAAUGCCAUUUGAUGAACGAGUCACGUUGGACGGGCUAGUAGGUGCAGCCGAGCAUGGAAGCGUGCGAGAGUCCGCGUAAUCUAGUUGUGGAUGCGUUCUGGCACUAUCCUGUUUGUGUGCAUCAAGUUUAGGCUAAUGAGAUAUGGAGAUCAUGACAUCUUGUAAGACUGUACAGGUAGCUAGAAGAUAGGAAGGAAAUAGUAGUUCCCUUUGUCCCCUCCCCCUCUAUUUAUUUAUUCUUUUUUUGGUAUUAGUCUUCUCUUUUUGGCGACAACCACCAUAUAUCAGAAUAAAAGUAAUGGGCUUUUUAUUUAGGGCGAGGGGAGUAUCAUUAUUGUUUCUUGAAUGAUUUCGAGUGACAUUUUCCUUGGUUUCUCACUAAAUUAAAAAUUAUACUUGCUCGUCA